rnacentral:tRNA from 1 species
GGGCUGGGGCUCAGUGGUAGAGUGCUCACCUAGCAUGCCUGAGGCACUGGGUCCGAUCCUCAGCACCACG